AAUAAAAAAAAAAAAAAAAAACAACUAUAGCUGGCACAUAAAAAACCAACUACAGUUGUAGUUAUUUACAGUGCCACUUUAAUAUUUAUAAUGUUAAUAAAGAUAUAUACUUAUUAAAUAUUGUUCUUUUAUCACCGUGGCAUGUUAAAAUUUUUUAAUUUCUAUGGUAUUUUUUUAAAUUAAUCGCUUUAAUCAUUAAUUUUUUUAAGAAUGUAAUUUACUAUUAAAUUUUAUUUUGUCUAUUUUAAUCAUUAAACUAACCUAUUAGCCAUUGAACAUCUAAAAUUUUUAAAAUUAAAUAAAAAAAUAUACAAAGUAGGAAAUUAUAAGUAAUAAAAAAGAUUAUCAAUUGUCCGUCAAUGAACCCAAGAUAUUAUUUAAAUGUAUUACGUCCCGAAAGAGCGAACUAAUUAAACCUACCCCAAAAGUACCCAAUAUAUAACUGAGGAGAGUAUUGUGUUUCGGUCCCCGUACCAUGUUCCAAGAUAUUAUCAUGCCCAUGUUUGAAAUUGCAAUCAAAAUCAAACAAAACAAGGAACGAAAUGGUGAAGUCGUCUAUAUGUUGGUUUGAUUUUAAUUUAAAGACCAAUUCUCUAAAGCUGCUUGGUUCCUUUUUAGAGUAGUAAACUAGUAGUUCUAGAGUUCCACAGAAUCCAUGCUGUACUCUUCUUUCAUAAUGGAGUGUCCAUAAUGUGGAACAUAAUCUAAGUAGUUUAUGUUUUUUAAACCAAGGUUGCAUUGGAAACUAACAUUAUCUGCAAAAUGAUUCUAUAGAUACUUACAGAAGUGGUUGACAACCAGAUUGUCUCUAUAUUAAGUGGUGAACUAGUUGUCAUUGUUUUUUCCUUUUUUUUGGGCUCACACGCUGCUUCUUGGGAAAUAACUUUCGAUUCAACCUAAUAUUGGAAAUAUUUAAUUUUUUUUACUUACUGAAAAGGACAAUAUUAUGACUAUUUAAAUCUAGAAGAUUUCGCUGUUGUUGGUGUAGAAACUUUUGUUAAAAUGUUUAUCAUGAUGUAAAACCUCCUAGUAUUGCUUCAUGUAGGAAAGUACUAGAAGCUGAACGUUAUAAUUGGGCU
rnacentral:misc_RNA from 1 species